rnacentral:rRNA from 1 species
AAAGAAAAUAACAAUGAUUCCCCUAGUAACGGCGAGCGAAGAGGGAAUAGCUCAAAUUUUAAAUCUGUUGGGUUUUACCUAACCGAGUUGUAAUUUGAAGAAGCGUUUUCUGCGCGUUUGAUUUAGCCCAAAUCCUUUGGGAUAGAGUAUCAUGGAGGGUGAGAAUCCCGUCCGGCCUAAUCAGAUGUGCUUUACGAUACGUUUUCUAAGAGUCGAGUUGUUUGGGAUUGCAGCUCAAAAUGGGAGGUAAAUUUCUCCUAAAGCUAAAUAUUGGCGAGAGACCGAUAGCGAACAAGUACCGUGAGGGAAAGAUGAAAAGAACUUUGAAAAGAGAGUUAAACAGUACGUGAAAUUGUUGAAAGGGAAACGAUUGAAGUCAGUCGUACCAACGGGAAAUCAAUUCAUCGAAUGUUGAAUUUGGGUUUUUGAAGAGUUGUAAAACCUUUGGGAUUCAAAUAUUUUCACUUUUUGAACGUAUUUUCUCGUACGGUAGGUUAACAUCGAUUUUGAACAUUAUAAAAUGAUCGGAGGAAUGUAGCUUCGAUCUCGUAUUGAAGUGUUAUAGCCUUUGGUAGAUGUAAUGAUCGAGAUCGAGGAUUGCAACGAAUACCCUUUUGGGCUAUCCGUCUGAUCUCUGACACGUUGCCUCGGUAACGAAAGCGUGCUUACGGUAUUGAGGUAUAACGGUCAAAAGGUUAGAACGUGAUUAAUU